rfam:Leptotrichia sp. oral taxon 847, complete genome.
AAAAAAGCUAAUUAAGAGCACACGGAGGAUGCCUAGGUAAUAACAGCCGAUGAAGGACGCGAUAAGCUGCGAUAAGUCAGGUCGAGAUGCACAUAAUCAAUGACACCUGAAUUUCCGAAUGGGGUAACCUGCAUACCCAGAUGGUAUGCGCGAAAGCGGUAAGCCUGUGAACUGAAACAUCUAAGUAACAGGAGGAAAAGAAAGUAAAAACGAUUCCCUCAGUAGCGGCGAGCGAACGGGGAUAUGCCUAAACCGUACCGGUGCCAAGCUGGCAGCGUUGCCGGUACGGGGUCGUGGGAUUUCAUCCGACUUAUGCCAUAAUGUCUAAGUAGCAUAGCAGUAAGAAGAAUCAGAUGGGAAGCUGAACCAUAGAAGGUGAUAGUCCUGUAUGUCGUAUAUGCUGUGCUAUGAUUUGAAACUCCCGAGUAGCGUCAAGCACGAGGAAUUUGGCGUGAAUCCGCGUGGACCAUAUCACGUAAGGCUAAAUACUGUUAUUGACCGAUAGUGAAGAGUACCGUGAGGGAAAGGUGAAAAGAACCCUGUGCAAGGGAGUGAAAUAGAAUUUGAAACCGUGUGCUUACAAACGGUAGGAGCACUUUAUGUGUGACUGCGUGGAUUUUGGUUAAUCAUCCUGCGAGUUAUGAUCAGUGGCAAGGUUAAUUAAUGAAGCCGAAGGGAAACCAAGUCUUAACAGGGCGACAUAGUCGCUGGUCAUAGACGCGAAACCUAGUGAUCUAGGCCUGUCCAGGCUGAAGCUGAGGUAAGACUCAGUGGAGGGCCGAACUCACCGCCGUUGAAAAGUUGGGAGAUGAGAUAGGUCUAGGGGUGAAAAGCCAAUCGAACUAGGAAAUAGCCCGUUCUCUCCGAAAUGCAUUUAGGUGCAGCCUGAAUUUUAGAUAUGUGGGGGUAGAGCACUGUAUGAUCUAGGGGGCAUAUUGCUUACCGAAAUCAAGCAAACUACGAAUACCAUUUAUUACUGAUUCGGAGUGAGUCCAUGGAUGAUAAGGUCCAUGGACAAAAGGGAAACAGCCCAGACCACCAGCUAAGGUCCCUAAUUAUGUCUAAGUGGGAAAGGAGGUGGAUAUUCACAGACAACCAGGAGGUUGGCUUAGAAGCAGCCACUCCUUAAAAGAGUGCGUAAUAGCUCACUGGUCGAGAGUAUCUGCGCCGAAGAUGUAACGGGGCUAAAGACAUAAACCGAAGCUGUGGAAGCGGCUUUGCCGCUUGGUAGGAGAGCGUUCUGUAGGUCUACGAAGGCUGGCCGUAAGGCCUGCUGGAGACAUCAGAAGUGAGAAUGCAGGAAUGAGUAGCGAGAAGGAGGGCGAGAAUCCCUCCGGCCGGAAGUCCAAGGUUUCCGGGGGAAGGUUCGUCCGCCCCGGGGAAGUCGGGACCUAAGCGUAAGCAGAGAUGUGAUUGCGAAUGGUAAAUAGGUUAAUAUUCCUAUACCACUGUCAGUCGUCUGAGUGACGGAGUGACGCAGUAAGGUAUGUGAGAAGGCUGUCGGAAUAGCCUUUCUAAAGGCCUAGCCUGGGCACGCAGGUAAAUCCGCGUGCCUAUAGGUGAGACCCUACGGGUAAGUGCUUUUGCAUAAGUCACAAAUCCUAUACUGCCUAGAAAAACUUCUAACAAGACUCGUCAGUGCCCGUACCCUAAACCGACACAGGUGGACAGAGUGAGAAACUUAAGGCCGACAGGAUAACUCUAGCUAAGGAACUCUGCAAAAUAGCCCCGUAACUUCGGGAGAAGGGGUGCCUGAUAUACUUAAGAGGAGAAACACCUCAAGGGGAAACAGGCCGCAGUGAAGAGUCUCAAGCAACUGUUUACCAAAAACACAGGUCUAUGCUAAGCUGUAAGGCGACGUAUAUGGGCUGACACCUGCCCAGUGCCGGAAGGUUAAGAGGAGGAGUGAGAGCUCCAAUUUGAAGCCCCGGUGAACGGCGGCCGUAACUAUAACGGUCCUAAGGUAGCGAAAUUCCUUGUCGGGUAAGUUCCGACCUGCACGAAUGGUGAAAUGAUUUGAGAGCUGUCUUGGCUGGAGACCUGGUGAAGUUGUAAUGUCGGUGAAGAUACCGACUACCUGCAGUAGGACGGAAAGACCCCGUGGAGCUUUACUGUAGCUUGGCAUUGGGUUUUGACAAUGUGUGUAUAGGAUAGUUGGGAGACUUCGAAGUUAAGGCGUCAGUCUUUUCUGAGUCACUGUUGGAAUACCAACCAUAUGUUGUCGGAAUUCUAAUCCUUUACCGGAGACAGUGCUAGGUGGGCAGUUUGACUGGGGCGGUCGCCUCCAAAAGAGUAACGGAGGCGUUCAAAGGUUCCCUCAGGCUGGAUGGAAAUCAGCCUUCGAGUGCAAACGCAUAAGGGAGCUUGACUGCAAGACCGACGGGUCGAGCAGGUACGAAAGUAGGAGUUAGUGAUCCGGCGGUCCCUAAUGGAAGGGCCGUCGCUCAACGGAUAAAAGCUACCCCGGGGAUAACAGGCUGAUACUUCCCAAGAGUCCAUAUCGACGGAAGUGUUUGGCACCUCGAUGUCGGCUCGUCUCAUCCUGGGGCUGGAGAAGGUCCCAAGGGUUGGGCUGUUCGCCCAUUAAAGAGGCACGCGAGCUGGGUUCAGAACGUCGUGAGACAGUUCGGUCCCUAUCCACUGCAGGCGCUGGAAUACUGAAAAGUUCUGUCCUUAGUACGAGAGGACCGGGAUGGACAAACCUCUGAUGUAUCAGUUGUCACGCCAGUGGCACGGCUGAGUAGUCACGUUUGGUUAGGAUAAUCGCUGAAAGCAUCUAAGCGAGAAACCCCCUUUAAGAUGAGUAUUCCCAGUAUCCACAUAGACUAUGUGGUCGAUAGGCUGGAGAUGUAAGCGCAGCAAUGCGUUCAGUUGACCAGUACUAAUAUUACUUAAGCUUUUUUUA